rnacentral:rRNA from 1 species
UACAGAGGUCCCAAGCGUUGUUCGGAUUCACUGGGCGUAAAGGGUGCGUAGGUGGCGAGGUAAGUCGGAUGUGAAAUCUCCGAGCUCAACUCGGAAAUGGCAUUGGAAACUACCUUGCUCGAGGGUUGGAGGGGGGACUGGAAUGCUUGGUGUAGCAGUGAAAUGCGUAGAUAUCAAGCGGAACACCAGUGGCGAAGGCGAGUCCCUGGACAACUCCUGACACUGAGGCACGAAAGCUAGGGGGAGCAAACAGG